rnacentral:rRNA from 1 species
AGUGAACGCUGGCGGUAGGCCUAACACAUGCAAGUCGAACGGCAGCACAGGAGAGCUUGCUCUCUGGGUGGCGAGUGGCGGACGGGUGAGGAAUUCAUCGGAAUCUACUCUGUCGUGGGGGAUAACGUAGGGAAACUUACGCUAAUACCGCAUACGACCUACGGGUGAAAGCAGGGGACCUUCGGGCCUUGCGCGAUUGAAUGAGCCGAUGUCGGAUUAGCUAGUUGGCGGGGUAAAGGCCCACCAAGGCGACGAUCCGUAGCUGGUCUGAGAGGAUGAUCAGCAACACUGGAACUGAGACACGGUCCAGACUCCUACGGGAGGCAGCAGUGGGGAAUAUUGGACAAUGGGCGCAAGCCUGAUCCAGCCAUACCGCGUGGGUGAAGAAGGCCUUCGGGUUGUAAAGCCCUUUUGUUGGGAAAGAAAUCCAGCUGGCUAAUACCCGGUUGGGAUGACGGUACCCAAAGAAUAAGCACCGGCUAACUUCGUGCCAGCCGCCGCAGUAA